rnacentral:tRNA from 1 species
AGGGACUUAGGUUAGUGCUUAGACCGGGGACCUUCAAAGCCCCCAGCGGGAGUUAAACUCUCUCAGCCCCUG